rnacentral:rRNA from 3 species
GGGGGAUAACUACUGGAAACGGUGGCUAAUACCGCAUAACGUCGCAAGACCAAAGAGGGGGACCUUCGGGCCUCUUGCCAUCAGAUGUGCCCAGAUGGGAUUAGCUUGUUGGUGAGGUAACGGCUCACCAAGGCGACGAUCCCUAGCUGGUCUGAGAGGAUGACCAGCCACACUGGAACUGAGACACGGUCCAGACUCCUACGGGAGGCAGCAGUGGGGAAUAUUGCACAAUGGGCGCAAGCCUGAUGCAGCCAUGCCGCGUGUAUGAAGAAGGCCUUCGGGUUGUAAAGUACUUUCAGCGGGGAGGAAGGUGUUGUGGUUAAUAACCGCAGCAAUUGACGUUACCCGCAGAAGAAGCACCGGCUAACUCCGUGCCAGCAGCCGCGGUAAUACGGAGGGUGCAAGCGUUAAUCGGAAUUACUGGGCGUAAAGCGCACGCAGGCGGUCUGUCAAGUCGGAUGUGAAAUCCCCGGGCUCAACCUGGGAACUGCAUUCGAAACUGGCAGGCUUGAGUCUUGUAGAGGGGGGUAGAAUUCCAGGUGUAGCGGUGAAAUGCGUAGAGAUCUGGAGGAAUACCGGUGGCGAAGGCGGCCCCCUGGACAAAGACUGACGCUCAGGUGCGAAAGCGUGGGGAGCAAACAGGAUUAGAUACCCUGGUAGUCCACGCCGUAAACGAUGUCUACUUGGAGGUUGUGCCCUUGAGGCGUGGCUUCCGGAGCUAACGCGUUAAGUAGACCGCCUGGGGAGUACGGCCGCAAGGUUAAAACUCAAAUGAAUUGACGGGGGCCCGCACAAGCGGUGGAGCAUGUGGUUUAAUUCGAUGCAACGCGAAGAACCUUACCUGGUCUUGACAUCCACAGAACUUUCCAGAGAUGGAUUGGUGCCUUCGGGAACUGUGAGACAGGUGCUGCAUGGCUGUCGUCAGCUCGUGUUGUGAAAUGUUGGGUUAAGUCCCGCAACGAGCGCAAC